UCCUACGGGUGGCAGCAGUGGGGAAUUUUGGACAAUGGGGGCAACCCUGAUCCAGCCAUUCCGCGUGAGUGAAGAAGGCCUUCGGGUUGUAAAGCUCUUUUGUCCGGAGCGAAACGGGCGGCCCUAAUACGGUCGUCUACUGACGGUACCGGAAGAAUAAGCACCGGCUAACUACGUGCCAGCAGCCGCGGUAAUACGUAGGGUGCGAGCGUUAAUCGGAAUUACUGGGCGUAAAGCGUGCGCAGGCGGUUUUGUAAGCCAGAUGUGAAAUCCCCGGGCUCAACCUGGGAAUGGCAUUUGGGACUGCAAGGCUGGAGUGUGGCAGAGGGGACUAGAAUUCCUGGUGUAGCAGUGAAAUGCGUAGAUAUCAGGAGGAAUACCGAUGGCGAAGGCAGGUCCCUGGGUUAACACUGACGCUCAUGCACGAAAGCGUGGGGAGCAAACAGGAUUAGAUACCCGUGUAGUC
rnacentral:rRNA from 1 species